rnacentral:rRNA from 1 species
UACUAGAGUAGCACUCGCAUAUCAAUAAGCGGAGGAAAAGAAACUAACAAGGAUUCCCCUAGUAACGGCGAGUGAAGCGGGAAGAGCUCAAAUUUGAAAUCUUAAAGGGUUUCCCUUUACGAAUUGUAGUUUAAAGAAGUGUUUUCUGUUGAGGUUUUGGUAAAAGUUCUUUGGAAUAGGACAUCAUAGAGGGUGAGGAAUCCCGUAUUUGACCUUUACUUUCAACUUUGUGAUACACUUUCAAAGAGUCGGAUUGUUUGGGAAUGCAGUCCAAAAUGGGUGGUAAAUUUCAUCUAAAGCUAAAUAUUGGCGAGAGACCGAUAGCGAACAAGUACCGUGAGGGAAAGAUGAAAAGAACUUUGAAAAGAGAGUUAAACAGUACGUGAAAUUGUCAAAAGGGAAGCGUUUGACACCAGUGUUGUUUUUCUGAAAAUCAAUUAAAGAACUGUUUAUGCUAAGCUGUUUAGACUUUAUCAGCUAUCUGUCUAGUUUUAGGCUUUUCUUUAAUGCACUUUUCAGUUAACAAGUCAACAUCAAUUUCUUUUGCUGUAAAAAAGCUUGAGGAAGGUGGCUUGAGAUUCGUCUUAAGUGUUUAUAGCCUCUUGCCUAUGCAGUCGGAGAGAUUGAGGUCUGCAGCGUAGAUCCUUCGGGGCUAAAUGCAUUUGUGCUAAGUUAUAGCAUUUUAUAGACAACUUGUUGACUAUGAUUUGUCUUGUAGCUUACUCGCUUAUGUUAUUUUACCUACGCUUAGGAUGUUGAGCGCAUGUCUCUCUCU